CCAUCUUCUCUACGACAUUCUACGCCUCUCAGCCGCAAGCUCUCUGCAACCUAAGCACACUGACUUGAAUACCGUAACGUCUUCAGCCUCAUUGAUAUCUUCUUUAUUCCUCGCUUUUACUUGCUUAACCCACCACUCCUACUCUUGAGCAUUCAAUCACCCUCAUCGCAUUCCAGAGAAACCGACUGGAUCGACGAGUAUAAAUACUACAACUCUCAACCAUGAAAAGCGCAACUACAACAACUUUACAAGGAUAGUCUGUCCAGCUAACCCAUUACGAUGAUGUCAACACCUGUGCAAGGAUCCGUGAGUGCAAACCGUCUUCUCAGAUUCAGACAGCGUUUCAGCGAACUCUGUGUACACGUUAAGCGGUUUUGAUGUAAAGCCCAGUAACAACAAUUUCCGGUUAUCUCAUGCCCCCUCUCCAUACGGUUCAAUGAUGGACCCUCUUUUGAAAAGCUCAUAGACUCCGAUAAAGUCAUACCCACUGAACUUUUCCGGUUCCGACCAUACGACGAGUUACGUGCACUGGCAAACACCAACAAACAACUUCCUGAUAUUAUUGGCGAGCUAAAUGCAAUAAGGAGCACCAUCAACGACCGUCUUCCUGGUGCAAAAUGCAUAAUGCUUACUUUGCGUCUUGAUAGUGCUGUUAACGUCUGUGUUAGUAUGUUUGACUCUUUGGCUAUUGCAUUCCACGACAAAUUUGAGAGCUAUGGGUCAGAGCCAAAAUUGUGCUUGUCACGAGCAUAAAUACAAAGAUUGUUGGGGACCGCAGCAGGAAAAGAAGUGUUUGACAGGCAUGUCAACUCAUUCUAAUUAUAGCAACGCAACUUUUUCUAACUUCCAAAUAUUGUAAACAUGUUUCCUAUCUGUUUUACUGUUUUUCCAUGUUCAUCCUCCUUCAUUGCCAGGUCAGGGAGCAGACCAGCAAGUGUCUUCAUCCAAGAUGGUUCAUGCACAGAAGAUUGAGCCACUUACCAUUUCUGAGCUUAGCCAAUUUAUUAACACUGCUGAUUCUCAGGUGUAGUGUGGUCUAUUUAAAUUUAAUACACUUUGAGCUUAAUCAUCUGAGUACGAAGUAUUGGAAUUUGUCCAACUUCUUCUACACUUGACGGAUUAUCGAUUUCCUCUGCACUGCUAAAGUGACCGGGAUCCAGCAAGAUGACGGUUGGUGUUAUAUUGGUUGCUCCGGAUAUUCAAAGAAACUUGUCCGAGAGACUCUUCCUUCACAUGUGUUUCAUGUAAUGAAUCCAAUGCUGAGGCCGCACUCAGGUACCGAGUGACACUGUCUGUGUCAGACGACACUGAUACAACAUCUUUCCUUGCUUUUGAUAUGGAGAUGGCUAAACUGACAAACAUCCAAGCUUCUGAGGCUGCACAGAUUGUGCAUCAAACAUUCACCAUUUCCCGCAUAUUUCCAUAGCGAGAGCUUGCACCUAUACCAGCCUUUUUCUUACCUGAAGGUGCAAAUGCUCCUGAGGCAGCGCUGCAUGAAGUUGUGGUACCAGGAACAGAUGAGAAAGAUGCCAACACUUGCAAUGUGGCAGAGGAGCCAUCCACGUCUGAUGCUUCAACUGCCGGAGGUCCUGCAUCGGCCAAAAAACAAGUUGCUGCUGAUAGAAAUGCCCGCAAGAAAGCACGUGUGGAAUGAGUCCACUACUAGCUCUUAGACAACCACAACUUCUUAUCAACUACUGCUUAUCUUUUAAUUUUCAUCAACUUCUUAUCGAUUACUGCUUUAGUAUUUUUACCUUUCGUUUAAUUCUAUUUUCCUUUUGUUUUAGAACUCCAUGUUGUGGUUGUCGAUUAAAUUAUUAAUGCAAAUUUUUUAUGAAGAAAAUUUCUCUA